AUUGAACGCUGGCGGCAGGCCUAACACAUGCAAGUCGAGCGGAUGAAGGGAGCUUGCUCCUGGAUUCAGCGGCGGACGGGUGAGUAAUGCCUAGGAAUCUGCCUGGUAGUGGGGGAUAACGUCCGGAAGCGGGCGCUAAUACCGCAUACGUCCUGAGGGAGAAAGUGGGGGAUCUUCGGACCUCACGCUAUCAGAUGAGCCUAGGUCGGAUUAGCUAGUUGGUGGGGUAAAGGCCUACCAAGGCGACGAUCCGUAACUGGUCUGAGAGGAUGAUCAGUCACACUGGAACUGAGACACGGUCCAGACUCCUACGGGAGGCAGCAGUGGGGAAUAUUGGACAAAGGGCGAAAGCCUGAUCCAGCCAUGCCGCGUGUGUGAAGAAGGUCUUCGGAUUGUAAAGCACUUUAAGUUGGGAGGAAGGGCAGUAAGUUAAUACCUUGCUGUUUUGACGUUACCAACAGAAUAAGCACCGGCUAACUUCGUG
rnacentral:rRNA from 1 species